rnacentral:rRNA from 1 species
AGUGAACGCUGGCGGUAGGCCUAACACAUGCAAGUCGAACGGCAGCACAGUAAGAGCUUGCUCUUACGGGUGGCGAGUGGCGGACGGGUGAGGAAUACAUCGGAAUCUACUUUUUCGUGGGGGAUAACGUAGGGAAACUUACGCUAAUACCGCAUACGACCUACGGGUGAAAGCAGGGGAUCUUCGGACCUUGCGCGAUUGAAUGAGCCGAUGUCGGAUUAGCUAGUUGGUGGGGUAAAGGCCCACCAAGGCGACGAUCCGUAGCUGGUCUGAGAGGAUGAUCAGCCACACUGGAACUGAGACACGGUCCAGACUCCUACGGGAGGCAGCAGUGGGGAAUAUUGGACAAAGGGCGCAAGCCUGAUCCAGCCAUACCGCGUGGGUGAAGAAGGCCUUCGGGUUGUAAAGCCCUUUUGUUGGGAAAGAAAAGCAGCAGGUUAAUACCCCGCUGUUCUGACGGUACCCAAAGAAUAAGCACCGGCUAACUUCGUG